GAUGAACGCUGGCGGCAGGCCUAAUACAUGCAAGUCGAACGGUGUAGCAAUACACAGUGGCGCACGGGUGCGUAACACGUAUGCAACCUACCUAUCAUUGGGGGAUAGCCUUUGGAAACGGAGAUUAAUACCGCAUAAGACAGUAGCAUGGCAUCAUGCAGCUGUUAAAGCUUUGGCGAUGAUUGAUGGGCAUGCGUCCAAUUAGUUAGUUGGUGAGGUAACGGCUCACCAAGACGAUGAUUGGUAGGGGAUCUGAGAGGAUAAUCCCCCACACUGGCACUGAGAUACGGGCCAGACUCCUACGGGAGGCAGCAGUAGGGAAUAUUGGGCAAUGGACGGAAGUCUGACCCAGCCAUGCCGCGUGCAGGAAGAAGGCGUUAUGCGUUGUAAACUGCUUUUUUAUAGGAAGAAGGAGACCUUGCGAGGUUUGGUGACGGUACUAUAAGAAUAAGCACCGGCUAACUCCGUGCCAGCCGCCGCCGUAACAC
rnacentral:rRNA from 1 species